rnacentral:misc_RNA from 1 species
GAUGAAGAACGUAGCGAAAUGCGAUAAGUAAUGUGAAUUGCAGAAUUCAGUGAAUCAUCGAAUCUUUGAACGCACAUUGCGCCCAUUAGCAUUCUAGUGGGCAUGCCUGUUCGAGCGUCAUUUCAACCCUUAAGCCCUGUUGCUUAGCGUUGGGAGCCUACAGUACUGUAGCUCCCCAAAGUUAGUGGCGGAGUCGGUUUCACACUCUAGACGUAGUAAUUUUUUCUCGUCUGUAGUUGAGCCGGUCCCCUGCCGUAAAACACCCAAUUUAUCAAGGUUGUCCUCGGAUCAGGUAGGAAUACCCGCUGAACUUAAGCAUAUCAAUAAGCGGAGGA